ensembl:lncRNA
GGUGCAGAGUUGCCUCUUGUCGAGGGAGGUGCUUUACGAAGGGAGACAGACCAUGUUCUGGGCACCACACUAGCCCUUAGGGACACAUUUCACUUAAUCCUCCCAAGAAGCUGAGGAAGACAUACCCAGAAAGGUCUGUAUGUCUGGAGUCCUAGUGUCCUGUCUCCUCUUGGCCCACAGGGUCUGCCAGGAACCUCCUGACCCCGAUGGUGGGCAGAAAAUAAUCCAGGAGAAAUGCAGAUGUGGGUGUGUUGGAGUCUGGGGCUGCUGAGGGCAGGGGAAGGGCUGGGCUGCAGACAAGGAAUGCUUUUUAAAACAAAAAAGGAAAUGCUGGCUCAGAAUGGAAAGGAAAGGAAGCAGCUUCCUGUUUCUGGUGCUGGCUGUUUGAAGGGAGGCCCUCUCUCUUAGCCUCUUGGCCCAUGGAGGCCCAGGCCGGCCGGGGCCACCUCUGGGUGCAGUAGACAGACACACAGCUUCUACACCGCUGCCUGAGGGCUCAGAAUACAGGGCCGGGCCCACCCCUUUUCAUUUUCCCCAGGUAACUGGUCAAAUGGAUGUGUGGUUUUCAAAAUGAAUAUCUAUAUGUGUUACAAAAUGGUUGUGUCGCAAUAGCUGACAUUUACUGAGCGCUUACUCCCUGCCUGGCCCCCUUCUUAGGAGUUUUUGCUGGCAUUUACUCCUUGCAGCUGCCUUGUGGGGAGGGUUCUAUUUUCUUCCCAUUUUAUAGAUGAAGAAACUGAGGUGCAAAGCAGUUAAGUGACUUGCCCAGAGUCCUGCAGCCAAGGAGAGACCAAGCUGUGGCUUGAACCACAGUCUUAAUACUGACUGGCCCUGCCUGACUUGCAUUUGCUCCACUUCCACUUAGAAAAUCUGUUAACACAGACUAAGUUUUCUAAAGACCCGUGGCCAUUGUUUGGCUCCAGAGGGCAGCUCCAGAGCGUGGGCCAGGCCCUUGGUGAUUCUUGGGUAAAGUGCCUGCGUCUGAGUUUACAUUUUUUAAAAAAUUUAGUUUUCAUUUUCAUUUUGUUCUUUCUUUUUUUUUUUUUUUUUUUUGGCUUUUUAGGGCCGCACCCUCGACACAUGGAAUUUCCCAGGCCAGGAGUCGAGUUGGAGCUACAACUGCCAGCCUAGACCACAGCCACAGCAACUCAGGAUCCAAGCUGCAUCUGCGACGUACACCACAGCUCACGGCAAUACUGGAUCCUUAAUCCCCUGACUGAGGCAGGGAUCGAACCCACAUCCUCAUGAAUCCUACUUGGGUUUGUUAACUGCUGAGCCAUGAAGGGAACUCCCACAUUUAAAAAAAACCUUUAUUAUGGAAAUGUUCAAACAUGUACAAAAGCUGAGAGAAUGGUAUAAUGAACCCCCAUGCAGGGAUUCCCCCAGCUUUGGCAAUCACUAGCUCCAGCCAGUCUUGGGUCACCCAUGGCGUCUACACUCGAGUAAGCCUGGUUAGAGAAUAGAGGUGGUGCUGGGCAGUUGGUAUCUAGGAAGCAGAGUGACUCGGGAAAAUGUAGUACAACCCUCUGCCGCCCAGCGGAGCGUCCAGAGCCCAGCAGGCUGGGAGGAAUCCCUGUACCUUCUCCCUGUGCAGCGACCAUUUAACUUUACCUCCAAGUUUCCUUGGGUCUCUGGAGCUCGCAUAGUAUAGGAGGGUCAUCUUGCUCUUGAGCUGAAGCUCCUGCCACACCGAAAGCUGUUCUCAGGCGGCAGAGUCACAGCCACGGCUGGUCCCUAUUCCCACUGACGUGUGGAGUCACAGAGACAGUCCCAAUGUCCAGGCACUCUCUUUUUUGUGUGUGUCUUUUUAGGGUUGGUUGUACCUGAGGCACAUGGAAGUUCCCAGGCUAGGGGUUAUAUUGGAGCUGCAGCUGCCAGCCUACACCACAGCCACAGCAACGCCAGAUCCGAGCUGCAUCUGUGACCCACACGACAGCUCACGGCAAUGCCGGAUCCUUAACCCACCAAGCAGGGCCAGGGAUCGAACCUGCGUCCUCAUGGAUCCUGGUUGAAUCGGGUUCAUUUCUGCUGCGCCUCCACGGGAACUCCCAGGCACUCUCCUCUGUAUUCUAGAGUCUCCUCUUUACUGUUCCUUGUUGCUUUAUCCCCACACCAUGUGAUGUGUGUAUUUUAGCCAACAUUCACCGAGCACCACUGUGUGUGUGCCUGGGGAGGAGAGGGGGCGAGCACAGUCUCCAGGCAGCUCCUGGCGAACCCUCAGCUCAGUGGGUCCAGCCUAGAAACGGAGUCUGGGGCCCACGGAGGGGCUUCCUGGCCCUUGGUGGCUCUUCCCGUGGUUCUGCGCAGGCUGCCCAAAGCCGGGUGCUGCUGACCAUGCUCUCAUUUCUUUUCUCUGUGGUCGCUCGCUCCCAGCAGAGCUGGUUUUUCUUUGUUUCAUUUUAUUUGGUUUUGGACUGUAUUCUCACAAGUUUCUCAGAGCCCUGUCGCCUUGGGCCAGCUGCUUCAGCUCUCCCACAGUCAUGAUGUCAUUACUGGAAGGACAGUCUGGGGCACUUAGUGGGACACUGAGGGCUGCAGGAAGGACUCCGGGCUGUGGGGGUGGGGGUGUCAUCAUCGCCUCCUGGCUCCCUUCCUUGCCACCUCUGUGACCUGGGGCAAGUUCCUUAGCUCUGUGAACCUCAGUUUUUCUUGUUCGUUAAAAGGGGAUAGGAAUAGGUUUACUUGAGGCUCUUGGGAGGAGUUGCUGAGAUACAGAAGGUGUGCUGGCUGGGGCCUGGUACUUAGAAGGGAUUCAGUGUUUUUUGACCCCCCCCCCACUUAGCAUUAUUCUAAAACACGUGUCCAUGUGCCUCUCUUCUCUUCCUUGUGGCCAUUUUCUUUUUUUUUUUUUUUGGUCUUUUUGCCAUUUUCUUGGGCCGCUCUUGUGGCAUAUGGAGGUUCCCAGGCUAGGGGUCGAAUCGGAGCUGCAGCUGCCGGCCUAUGCCAGAGCCUUGUAGCCAUUUUAAUUACUGCGUGAUAUUUCAUCCAGUGCGUACGCUGUCAUUUGCCAAAACAUUUCCCCUGUUUUGGGACAUUUUGGUUGUUUCCAGCUUUCUGUUAUUAUAAACAACGUAACUGGAAUCAUCUUAGCACAAGCACCUCUUUUUUUGUUGUUGUUCCUAUUCUGAAUUCAUUUCCUUGGGAUAAUUCCCAGGAAUGGAGUUAUUGGGUCAAAGAGCUGAUGUAUUUGUGUGAUGGGAGCUGCAAAACUGUCCUCCAUCUUAUACUUUUUUUUUGGCUGUGCCCACAGCAUCCAUCCAGGGACAGAACGCAUGCCACAGCUGUAACCAGAGCCACAGCAGUGACAAUGCCAGAUCCUUAACCUGCUGAGUCACCAGGGAACUCCACAUUUUAUACUUUUUGAAUGACAGUUCUUUUUAAAUUGGUACUCCUGCUUGAAGCACUCAUUUUUUUCUUUGCAGUCCUUUUGGUCUCUGUACCUUCCUUCUCCCACCCAACCUUUAUUUUUCGCCAUGUUAAGUCAUUUCCCAUCUUCCUCCCCCCCCCCUUUUUUUUUUAAAUCUUUCCGUUAUAAUCACCAACUAAAAUUGUAAAGCAUUUAAGGUGUGUCAAUCGUACCCCAUCUUGAAUUUGCUAUUUUCUGUCUGCCAUCCAUUCAUUCACUGUUUCUUGAGCAUCUACUGUGUGCCUGGCCCGCAAGUGUGUUCCAUGCUGAGAAGAGAACAAUGGAGAAGACAGGCAGAGAAAGAAAAAGAUAAAAGACGAG